rnacentral:lncRNA from 1 species
ACUUGAUACAAGCGAGCUUUCCAAAAUGUAUGAAGAAAUUAUGACAGUAUGCAAGAAAAGAGAAAUGCGUUUUUGGGGAGUGUUAGGCUAACCCAUUCCAGGUGUGUCUUUUAGGGCCAGAAGGGUGGGUCUGUCAUUAGGGCCAGCUGUGGGGAUGAGUUUAGGUUGAGAGGGCAGCUCAGGUUUUGCUUUGGCUUUUGUAGAAGGUAGUGGGAGAACUAUGCUUGGCUGGAGCAUUUCUGCUGAUUAAGCUGGAGGGCCUUGCAAGUGGAUGAGAGACUGCUUGUGGAAAAUGGACUUUUCGGACCUGUUUGGCGUGCCACUAAGAGUCUAACAAAAAGAUGUUUUUGCAGGAGUCCGUGCUUAACUUCAUAUGUGGAAGGGCGCACAAAAGGUGGCCUGUGUGCAGGAUUUCAAUGCAGAUCCAUACUAAAUGGUACAGAAAGAAUUCAGAAGUGAAGGCU